UGGAGCAGGGGUGAAGGGCAAACACGCUAGGCGCGAGGUUCAGGAAGAACGGGUCGAGGGACGCGCGCAGGGGCAGGGGCGGCCGCGGGCACCGGGAGAGCAGCGCGCCGCGGCCCCUCGCCUCCCUCAGAGCGCUCCGCACCGCCGUCCCCACCGACCUUCAACGGGGCCGGGGCCAGGCUCCGACCGCCAGCAGUCGGCUCCUCCGUGCAGUCCCGGGUAGAGAGCCCGGUCCCUGCGCUAGUCGAUUUGUGCAGUAGGAAAGGAGGCUGCAGGGGAUCUGCGCCGGGGCAGGACAGAUGCCUUUCGGGACCCAGUGUUUGCAUCUUGGGAGAUGUGGGUGCUGAUCUGGUUGUUUCUUGGUUUAUGACGCCAAAAAGGGCGGGAGGGGGCUGAUGAAGUGAAGCCUUUCGCUAAUACAUUCCGUUAACAGAA
rnacentral:lncRNA from 1 species